rnacentral:lncRNA from 1 species
UCUGAAACUGAUUCUGGGCUGGCUGUGGUACCGACCAGACCAGAAAGUAUGUUCUAAGGCUCAAACCAUGAAGCAGCUGUUUUAUGAGUAACUUAACUCAUCUGUGAAAUUAAGCAGAUAUGGAUAGUAAGAGUGAAAAAAAUACUAGAAAGCCAAUCUUGGCUUAUUAACUGAGGGAGAAGAGAAAGCUAGAUCAUUACUUUAUAACGAGGUGACAUCUUAGUGGGCACCUGUCAGGUAUGGAGGCAGCCUCGAGCCUGCCUGCAGCUGCUAGCCCAGAGCCGAGGCCAGAAAGUAGUCCUGUACAUCUGGGUCAUGCAAUGUCAGCAAAGUACUGGUGGGCAGGGAAGGUGCACACCAUGUCACUAAGAGGAGCUACACUGCCUGCAGCAGGGGCUCUUCUAGGUGGGUGACCCAGGGGAUGUGGUUGACCAUGAAUCAAUGAAAAGCAAGUAGAGACAGACCCUGGCCUGCAGCUACAAAAUUAAAGCUAAAGGAAUGUCACUUAGUCUGGCCCAGUGGGUAUGGUUGUGGGCUCCAGUGACUUCCCCAUAGUAGAAUCUAGUAAAGGCUAGAUUUAGCUGUUCAUGUGCAAAUGAGAAAUGAUUCCAAAACUGGUUUGUGCAAAUGUUUUUAUUUCCACAUUUAUAUCACAAGUUGUCCACUUACUGGACCAAAUAGCAAAGUUGCUCCCUUCUGCGUGAACACAGAAGUCUAGGUACUGUACAUUCACUAAGGCUCCUUGUUUUUGCAAAUCGAGUUUAUGACAACCAUAAGGCAAACGAAUCUAAAGGAAUGGUUAUGAGUGUUUCCAGCAAACAGACGGCUCUCCCCUAGCCCAGCAGGGCAACUCACACCAGUAGCACCCUCGGGAACUUUGUAGGGUUAUACAGACUCUAGAAAGAUGGCAUUUCCUAGAGUUGUGCAGAAAAGGAAAGAAGGGAAGGAAAAGUCAUUUGGCUGGUGGUAGGGGAAAAAGGAUGAAAUAAACGACAAAACUUAAGUUUCUGCAGCAUUUCUUUAAGAACUGGGACUGAACUGAAACCAUAUACAAAUGGGUGGACGACUGUGCAGUGUGGGUGAGGCUGGCCCACCCACCCAAUGCCAGGGUUCACCACAGCAGAGAAGCUUCCAGCACACAACACGAGGGGGACAAAAAAAACAAAAAAAAAAAA